UACGUAGGGGCCUAGCGUUGUCCGGAAUUAUUGGGCGUAAAGAGCUCGUAGGCGGUUCGGCAAGUCGGAUGCGAAAUCUCCACGCUCAACGUGGAGGGGCCAUUCGAAACUGCCGUGACUCGAGUCCGGUAGGGGAGUGUGGAAUUCCCGGUGUAGCGGUGAAAUGCGCAGAUAUCGGGAGGAACACCAGUAGCGAAGGCGGCACUCUGGGCCGGUACUGACGAUCAGGCUCGAAAGCGUGGGGAGCAAACAGG
rnacentral:rRNA from 1 species